GCAGCGGUGGAGGAGGAGGAUGAGGUAGCCAACACUGUUUUUAUAUAUAUUUAUAUAUAUAUAUAUAUACACAUAUAUAUAUAUAUUUUUUUUUUUAAUUGGGGUAGCCCCCAAAAUAUUGGGACUUUUACAAAAAGACAACUCUGUUACGCAGAGUAGCUGUUGACAUUAUAGUUGCGCAGGAACUUUGUUGACUCUAGAGAACCUCGGGCAAAUCGCACUUCCCCGUGGUGGCGGCUUUGCAUGCGGAUGUCAUCCAUAUCAACUUUCGAUGCCAGUUUCUGCGCCUACCAUGGUGACCACGGGUAACGGGGAAUCAGGGUUCCAUUCCAUACAGGGACCUUGAGAAACGGCUACCACAAGCAAGGAAGGCAGC